CAAGAUCUCAUAGUGAGAGAAAACAAGUGCCUCCCCUGUGCUUUCAGACCACGAUUAGAAAGCUGUAGCAGGAAAAGUUAACUCUCUUCUUGAUUUCAUGUUGUUCAAGGAACAGGAGAACCCAGAAAUGAGUAGGGGGAAAAGCAAGACUAUCGAGCCCAGCCGAGCGAACCAACCACAGUUGUUGCGGUCUGUGUCGCCACCGAUGUGUAGUUACAUUUCUGGGGAGGUGCACAUC